CCGUCCCCACCUCCGCGUCCUGUCCCCCCACCACCACCAGGGGCCAUCCGGCUUGGGCUUCCCUGUGGAACACCACCUAUGGAUCAUACAAGCAACAUCUCAAGACAUCAACCAUGAAGGGGAAGUUGAAGCUGAAGUGGGUCCCUCAGCACACCACCACGUCAGUCACAAAGAGGCUGACGGACAACAAAGUCCAUGUUUCAGAGAGUCCAUCGCAGAGUCCUGGUCUCAGUGCCAGAGAACUAUAAGGGGCCGAGCUGAAUUGGUGUGGGAUUUUAAAUCAUUUCAAUGGUUUAUUUGUCGUAAGUCCAUUUUGAUGCCUACUGCAGAUUUUCUGCCCAGCUUCUUCUUGCAAAUGAGAUCUAAAGGGUUUCAAUCUGGUUAAAUAAAGGAAAUUAAACAAUGUUGUCAACAAACCAGACUCAAUUAAUGGUGAUACAAAACAAGAUCAAAGCAGAUGACAUGCUGAUAAAUUAACCAUUUGCUCAUUGUGGAACAUUUAAUCAAGCCGAGA